rnacentral:rRNA from 1 species
UCGCCCUUGUGCCAGCAGCCGCGGUAAUACGUAGGGUGCGAGCGUUGUCCGGAAUUACUGGGCGUAAAGAGCUCGUAGGUGGUUUGUCGCGUUGUUCGUGAAAACUCACAGCUUAACUGUGGGCGUGCGGGCGAUACGGGCAGACUAGAGUACUGCAGGGGAGACUGGAAUUCCUGGUGUAGCGGUGGAAUGCGCAGAUAUCAGGAGGAACACCGGUGGCGAAGGCGGGUCUCUGGGCAGUAACUGACGCUGAGGAGCGAAAGCGUGGGGAGCGAACAGGAUUAGAUACCCUGGUAGUCCGCGCCGUAAACGGUGGGUACUAGGUGUGGGUUCCUUCCUUGGGAUCCGUGCCGUAGCUAACGCAUUAAGUACCCCGCCUGGGGAGUACGGCCGCAAGGCUAAAACUCAAAGGAAUUGACGGGGGCCCGCACAAGCGGCGGAGCAUGUGGAUUAAUUCGAUGCAACGCGAAGAACCUUACCUGGGUUUGACAUGCACAGGACG